rnacentral:pre_miRNA from 1 species
AUAUUGUCCUGUCACAGCAGUACUGUUCUUCUCGAUAUGAUAGCCUACUGCUGGGCCGGGGCAUUAACA